AACGAACGCUGGCGGCAGGCCUAACACAUGCAAGUCGAGCGAGGACUUCGGUCCUAGCGGCGGACGGGUGAGUAACGCGUGGGAACGUGCCCUUUGCUUCGGAAUAGCCCUGGGAAACUGGGAGUAAUACCGGAUGAGCCCUUUGGGGGAAAGAUUUAUCGGCGAAGGAUCGGCCCGCGUUGGAUUAGGUAGUUGGUGGGGUAAUGGCCUACCAAGCCGACGAUCCAUAGCUGGUUGGAGAGGAUGAUCAGCCACACUGGGACUGAGACACGGCCCAGACUCCUACGGGAGGCAGCAGUGGGGAAUCUUAGACAAUGGGGGAAACCCUGAUCUAGCCAUGCCGCGUGAGCGAUGAAGGCCUUAGGGUUGUAAAGCUCUUUCAGCUGGGAAGAUAAUGACGGUACCAGCAGAAGAAGCCCCGGCUAACUACGUG
rnacentral:rRNA from 1 species